rnacentral:rRNA from 1 species
CAAUAGCGUAUAUUAAAGUUGUUGCAGUUAAAAAGCUCGUAGUUGGAUUUCUGGCAGGAGCGACCGGUCACACACUCUGUGUGUGAACUUGUGUUGUCUCUGGCCAUCCUUGGGGAGAUCCUGUUUGGCAUUAAGUUGUCGGGCAGGGGACAUCCAUCGUUUACUGUGAAAAAAUUAGAGUGUUUAAAGCAGGCUUAUGCCGUUGAAUAUAUUAGCAUGGAAUAAUAAGAUAGGACUUCGGAACUAUUUUGUUGGUUUGCGUUACGAAGUAAUGAUUAAUAGGGACAGUUGGGGGUAUUCGUAUUUCGUUGUCAGAGGUGAAAUUCUUGGAUUUCCGAAAGACGAACUACUGCGAAAGCAUUUACCAAGGAUGUUUUCAUUAG